UAAUUAGGGGUAAUUUAGUCAACUUACAUUUUUUUUUUCCUUGGAAGGACUCUUUUUUUAUCCGGAGGGAGUAGUAAACAUAUAACCAGAUAGAUAAAGGGGACAAAAAAAGAACAACGUUUUCGGUUUCUCCAUCGAGUUUAGAACAAUAAUUAGGGUUUUGCUAAAUUACAAGUAUAACAACAACAAUUACUACACCAUAAACCAGUGAUAACAGCAAGAAUUCAGCAAUCUAAAGAUCAAAUAGACAAAA